AGUAAGGUUGUCAGACUUCAUGCCCUGACAAUUGACUGUCAUUGAAGGAAUGAACUGGCCCCGGAGCACUGUAAUAUUUGUGUCUUGAAUUGAUUCGAUUUGCUAAAUACAUUUUGACAUUGGCAUUUUUCUUCUUGUAGUCUUCAUUCAGAGAACACGCGGAUUGGCAGUGACACACGUGAGACUAUUGCGAUCCAACAAGGAGGAGGUGUCUGCAUGGCAGGAUUGAAAUGGCAGACUAUGCAAAAUGGGUGGUUGCCCACCCAGUAUGUGCCAGUUGGACCACAGGAGGCUUCCGGAUGAACCAGGUUUAUCUCCUCAGCAGCUGCUCAGCAACUAUCAGAUCCAGGUCAGCGUGAGCUAUCGAUGUAAGCACUUCGGAGUUCUUCCCCAACGGGACCACGAAACCUCCCUCGGGCAAGCCUCGGUGUUGGAUGGAUACCUGACUGUUCUGUCCAAUAAACAUCUCUUAUAACCAAGUCAGUGUCUGCGAAUAUUCCUUCCUCAUCAGCACCUCUUGACUACCACCAGAAGAAAUUUACAACACCUGCUGAUGUGUUUCUUGAACAUAAAAAUUAUCUAAUUAUCUGACGCGUAUAUAAAUUUCAG
rnacentral:lncRNA from 1 species